CCUACGGGUGGCAGCAGUCGAGAAUUUUUCUCAAUGGGGGCAACCCUGAAGGAGCGACGCCGCGUGGGGGAUGAAGGGUUUCGAUCCGUAAACCCCUGUCAUUCGCGAACAAUGGUUGCUGUUUAAGAGAUGGCAAUUUGAUAGUAGCGGAAGAGGAAGGGACGGCUAACUCUGUGCCAGCAGCCGCGGUAAUACAGAGGUCCCGAGCGUUGUUCGGAUUCACUGGGCGUAAAGGGUGCGUAGGUGGUGAGGUAAGUCGGAUGUGAAAGCUCCGGGCUCAACCCGGAAAUGGCAUUGGAAACUACCUUGCUGGAGGUUUGGAGGGGGGACUGGAAUUCUCGGUGUAGCAGUGAAAUGCGUAGAUAUCGAGAGGAACACCAGUGGCGAAGGCGAGUCCCUGGACAACACCUGACACUGAGGCACGAAAGCCGGGGGAGCAA
rnacentral:rRNA from 1 species